rnacentral:lncRNA from 1 species
CCCUGACAGUCCUGAGCUCUCUAACCAUUCUGUGCUCGCUCUGGGCAACCUCAUCUAAGCUGUAGCUUUAAUAACUUUCAAUAACAGCUGACUUUCAAGUUUGUACCUUUGCCCUAGUUCUCUCAGCUCCAAACCUGUACAUCCGAUAUGCUUACCUGACAACUCCUCUUAGGUGUUUUUGAGAUGAUAAUUUCCCAAGAUCAUUUAGCUUGUUGGAAAAAGAGCUGAGAUUUGAACUUGGGACUGCCCGAUUUCAGAACUGGAGCUAAAAGCCUGCAACAUUAAUAGGAGGUGGUUUUGGAGGUGCCCCAGCUUAGGGGGCUGGAGCCUACAGGGUAGCCCCCUUCUCUGUCAUGUGGUAGGGGCGCCCUCUCUGGGGAGGAGGAGGCUGGAGACACAGACCUCACUGUUUCUCUGGCUGAGCUACAGACAAGAGCGUGUGCUGCCGGCUGUCCUGUCUAUGGUGAGUGUUGCUGCUCCCUGUUGAUGAGGCAGAAGUAGGUGAUACUUUUUCUACCGUUGGGGUUCCAGAGACUGAGGGGUUCUGGUGUUGAUCUUGGCUGCCUCUUACUUUUUUCUGUAUGAGGAAAGAGGCCUCCAGCCCGGGCCUUGGGUAGAAGCAGCGUGGGGGUUGGCUUUUUCCGGUGGGAUGCUUCCCAGAUCUUCUGAGGGGGUUCCACAUCUUCUCCCUCUGCCCUGCUGACCACGGUUUCUGCUGCCCUCUCCCUCUAACUCCUCCCUCCUUCCUUCAGGGUCCACGCUUCUCUGCAGGAAGAAUGAAGUCUCAAGCCCCAUCGGGCCCUGACUGGUCUCACAAGGACCAUAGAAAUUCUUUUGAAAACCAUUCAGUCAAGAGUGAAGCCUCAGUAACUGGUAAGAAUGUUAUCUGAAAUAAUGGCUCCCAGACAUGAUUACCUACCGUCUUGCGUUUCAGAAUCUGAUGUGUAGGUACCUAGAGGUUUAAAAAGGCAUUUUUUAGGAGUUUGGACCAUGUUAAGAAUGACAAAGAUAAAGUCUAAGUGGAUGCUCAGAUUCAUCUAAAAGCCAAUGUAUUUGGCUACUUUUAGGUCAGUUGUAAAGAGGAUGACACUAAAUUCAAAGUGAUAUUAUAUUGUGAUAGGUAGGAUAAUAGGCCCCCCAAAAUGUCCACAUGCUAAUACAUGAAACCUGUGAAUGUGUUUCCUUACAACAGGGAUUUUGCAGAUGUCAUUA